rnacentral:rRNA from 1 species
UACGGAGGGUGCAAGCGUUAUCCGGAUUCACUGGGUUUAAGGGGUGCGUAGGUGGGCAGGUAAGUCAGUGGUGAAAUCUCUGGGCUUAACUCAGAAACUGCCAUUGAUACUAUCUGUCUUGAAUACCGUGGAGGUCAGCGGAAUAUGUCAUGUAGCGGUGAAAUGCUUAGAUAUGACAUAGAACACCAAUUGCGAAGGCAGCUGGCUACACGAAUAUUGACACUGAUGCACGAAAGCGUGGGGAUCAAACAGG